GUGCCAGCCGCCGCGGUAAUACGUAGGGUGCGGGCGUUAAUCGGAAUUACUGGGCGUAAAGCGUGCGCAGGCGGCUUUGCAAGACAGAGGUGAAAUCCCCGGGCUCAACCUGGGAACUGCCUUUGUGACUGCAAGGCUAGAGUACGGCAGAGGGGGAUGGAAUUCCGCGUGUAGCAGUGAAAUGCGUAGAUAUGCGGAGGAACACCGAUGGCGAAGGCAAUCCCCUGGGCCUGUACUGACGCUCAUGCACGAAAGCGUGGGGAGCAAACA
rnacentral:rRNA from 1 species